rnacentral:rRNA from 1 species
GAGUUUGAUCCUGGCUCAGAACGAACGCUGGCGGCGUGCUUAACACAUGCAAGUCGUACGUGAAAGUUUCCUUCGGGAGACGAGUAAAGUGGCGCACGGGUGAGUAACACGUGGAUAAUCUGCCCAAUGGUCCGGGAUAACACUUCGAAAGGGGUGCUAAUACCGGAUAAGCCCACGGGCUCUUCGGAGCUUGCGGGAAAAGGUGGGGACCUUCGGGCCUGCCGUCAUUGGAUGAGUCCGCGGCCCAUUAGCUAGUUGGUGGGGUAAAGGCCUACCAAGGCGACGAUGGGUAGCUGGUCUGAGAGGAUGAUCAGCCACACUGGAACUGAGACACGGUCCAGACUCCUACGGGAGGCAGCAGUGGGGAAUUUUGCGCAAUGGGGGAAACCCUGACGCGGCAACGCCGCGUGAGUGAUGAAGGCUUUCGGGUCGUAAAGCUCUGUCAGAGGGGAAGAAACCCCUGGAGGAUAAUACCCUUCAGGACUGACGGUACCCUCAAAGGAAGCACCGGCUAACUCCGUGCCAGCAGCCGCGGUAAUACGGAGGGUGCGAGCGUUGUUCGGAAUUAUUGGGCGUAAAGCGCGUGUAGGCGGUCUGAUAAGUCUGAUGUGAAAGCCCCGGGCUCAACCCGGGAAGUGCAUUGGAUACUGCCAGACUUGAGUACGGGAGAGGGUAGUGGAAUUCCGAGUGUAGGGGUGAAAUCCGUAGAUAUUCGGAGGAACACCGGUGGCGAAGGCGGCUGCCUGGACCGAUACUGACGCUG